rnacentral:rRNA from 1 species
UACGUAGGUGGCAAGCGUUGUCCGGAAUUAUUGGGCGUAAAGCGCGCGCAGGCGGUCCUUUAAGUCUGAUGUGAAAGCCCACGGCUCAACCGUGGAGGGUCAUUGGAAACUGGGGGACUUGAGUACAGAAGAGGAAAGCGGAAUUCCAAGUGUAGCGGUGAAAUGCGUAGAGAUUUGGAGGAACACCAGUGGCGAAGGCGGCUUGCGUGACUGUAUGACGCUGAGGCGCGAAAGCGUGGGGAGCAAACAGGG